rnacentral:sRNA from 1 species
CGAUCGGGCCUUUCAGGCAUCCUCUCCUAAAACUUUCAAACGGCCGUCCCUCGGGGCGGCCUUUUUUUUCAAUUGU